UACGGAGGGGGCUAGCGUUGUUCAGAUUUACUGGGCGUAAAGGGCGCUUAGGCGGACCAUCAAGUCAGGGGUGAAAGGCCUGGGCUCAACCCGGGAAUUGCCUUUGAAACUGAAGGUCUAGAGUCCGAGAGAGGUUAGCGGAAUUCCCAGUGUAGAGGUGAAAUUCGUAGAUAUUGGGAAGAACACCAGUGGCGAAGGCGGCUAUCUGGCUCGGUACUGACGCUGAGGCGCGAAAGCGUGGGGAGCAAACAGG
rnacentral:rRNA from 1 species